rnacentral:rRNA from 1 species
UACAGAGGUCUCAAGCGUUGUUCGGAUUCAUUGGGCGUAAAGGGUGCGUAGGCGGCGCGGUAAGUCGGGUGUGAAAUCUCGGGGCUUAACUCCGAAACUGCAUUCGAUACUGCCGUGCUUGAGGACUGGAGAGGAGACUGGAAUUUACGGUGUAGCGGUGAAAUGCGUAGAGAUGUGGAGGAACACCGAUGGCGAAGGCAGCCCCCUGGGCUAACACUGACGCUCAGGCACGAAAGCGUGGGGAGCAAACAGG